UACGGAGGAUCCGAGCGUUAUCCGGAUUUAUUGGGUUUAAAGGGUGCGUAGGCGGGAGAUUAAGUCGGUGGUGAAAUUUUGCAGCUCAACUGUAAAAGUGCCAUUGAUACUGGUUUCCUUGAGUGUGGAUGAAGUAGGCGGAAUUUGUGGUGUAGCGGUGAAAUGCAUAGAUAUCACGAGGAACUCCGAUUGCGCAGGCAGCUUACUAAACCAUAACUGACGCUCAGGCACGAAGGCGUGGGGAUCAAACAGGAUUAGAUACCCGCGUA
rnacentral:rRNA from 1 species